GAUGAACGCUGGCGGCGUGCCUAAUACAUGCAAGUCGAGCGAACAGACGAGGAGCUUGCUCCUCUGACGUUAGCGGCGGACGGGUGAGUAACACGUGGAUAACCUACCUAUAAGACUGGGAUAACUUCGGGAAACCGGAGCUAAUACCGGAUAAUAUAUUGAACCGCAUGGUUCAAUAGUGAAAGACGGUUUUGCUGUCACUUAUAGAUGGAUCCGCGCCGCAUUAGCUAGUUGGUAAGGUAACGGCUUACCAAGGCAACGAUGCGUAGCCGACCUGAGAGGGUGAUCGGCCACACUGGAACUGAGACACGGUCCAGACUCCUACGGGAGGCAGCAGUAGGGAAUCUUCCGCGCUGGGCGCACGCCUGGCGGCGCCCCGCCGCGUGCGUGAUGAAGGUCUUCGGAUCGUAAAACUCUGUUAUUAGGGAAGAACAAAUGUGUACGUCACUCUGCACGUCUUGACGGUACCUAAUCAGAAAGCCACGGCUCACUACGUG
rnacentral:rRNA from 1 species